GCCUGAAUGGUGGAAUGGUAGACACGAGGGACUUAAAAUCCCUUGGCCAUUAUGGCUGUACGAGUUCGAGUCUCGUUUCAGGCACCU
rnacentral:tRNA from 1 species